rnacentral:rRNA from 1 species
GACGAACGCUGGCGGCGUGCUUAACACAUGCAAGUCGAACGGAAAGGCCCUUCGGGGUACUCGAGUGGCGAACGGGGGAGUAACACGUGGGUGAUCUGCCCUGCACUUUGGGAUAAGCCUGGGAAACUGGGUCUAAUACCGAAUAGGACCACGCGCUUCAUGGUGUGUGGUGGAAAGCGUUUGCGGUGUGGGAUGGGCCCGCGGCCUAUCAGCUUGUUGGUGGGGUAAUGGCCUACCAAGGCGACGACGGGUAGCCGGCCUGAGAGGGUGACCGGCCACACUGGGACUGAGAUACGGCCCAGACUCCUACGGGAGGCAGCAGUGGGGAAUAUUGCACAAUGGGCGCAAGCCUGAUGCAGCGACGCCGCGUGAGGGAUGACGGCCUUCGGGUUGUAAACCUCUUUCACCAGGGACGAAGCGUAAGUGACGGUACCUGGAGAAGAAGCACCGGCCAACUACGUG